AACGUGUUCUGGUUUGUUUAUCUCUAAAAUGGAAAUAAUCACUACAACAGAAUUAGAUUAUAGGGACACAUUUUUGGAACAUUUUAUAUAAGUGUUCUAUUUAUGUCAAAACUUAAAAAAAAUCUACUAAGACCUAAAUAUAAAGUUCAAUGCAACAAAAAAUAAAAGGUUACUCUACUCAAACUAUCCCACCCAGUUCAUUCGGCCUGAUUAUAAACAGAAAAGAAAAAAAAGAAAAAUCGAUCACCAUCUCCCCUUCUCUCCUCACUCAAUCCACUGAAACCCUAGACGAAGAGCCCCUCGCUCUCCUCCUCCUCCGCCGCCGCAGCCGACAAGGUAGGGUUUCGGCGGUUGCUAAAUACUCAAAUAAGUGUUGGUAAAUUAGCAGCAUUGUUUUUAAGUUAUACCGACACUCUUAAACUGUUAUUAUAUACCUAGCGAUCCCACAUAUAGCAACACUUUUUAAAAGUGUCGAUAAUUUAGCUAGCAUCACUUUUUUUGACCUGUACCAAUAUUUAAAAAUGUCGCUAUAUACCGUUUUUGUUGUAAUGAAUCCAAUUACCCAACUAUUAAUGUCUCAAUU
rnacentral:lncRNA from 1 species